rnacentral:lncRNA from 1 species
CUUAUUUCAAUUGUCAACUAUGUCAUAUUAUGUAGUUCUGGAAAUGAGCUUUAUUUCAGAAAUUAUAGCUGGAUGCAGUGGCGAAUCCAGGAUUUUAAUUGAGCACGGGCGGUUGUUGAUUGUCGACGGUCGUAAUAAUAACCAAUGCCGUGAGUUGAAAUUACUUAGCCCCCAUUUGGCCCCCAUUAUUUGAUUUAUAAUCGGGAAAUAAUGUUAUUUUUUAUUUUAAAAAUGAAUGGUUAUAAAAGAAUGAAAAGUUUUCGAUUUACGUGUAAUAUUAUUUUAUUGAAGAUUGUGUGCUUCAAAAUAGGAAAGAGAAAAUUUUAAAUUAAAUUGAUAAGUUUUAAAGGGGGCCAAACUGGGGCUUAUAUUGUAUUUUAAAUUGUAAGUGUGAGUGUACGUUAUCUACCAGUGUAAUAAUG